rnacentral:rRNA from 1 species
GACGAACGCUGGCGGCGUUCUUAACACAUGCAAGUCGAACGGUGAAGCAGAGCUUGCUCUGUGGAUCAGUGGCGAACGGGUGAGUAACACGUGAGUAACCUGCCCUUGACUCUGGGAUAAGCGUUGGAAACGACGUCUAAUACCGGAUACGAGCUGAGACCGCAUGGUCAUCAGUUGGAAAGAUUUUUUGGUCAAGGAUGGACUCGCGGCCUAUCAGCUUGUUGGUGAGGUAAUGGCUCACCAAGGCGACGACGGGUAGCCGGCCUGAGAGGGUGACCGGCCACACUGGGACUGAGACACGGCCCAGACUCCUACGGGAGGCAGCAGUGGGGAAUAUUGCACAAUGGGCGCAAGCCUGAUGCAGCAACGCCGCGUGAGGGAUGACGGCCUUCGGGUUGUAAACCUCUUUUAGUAGGGAAGAAGCGAAAGUGACGGUACCUGCAGAAAAAGCACCGGCUAACUACGUG